rnacentral:rRNA from 1 species
UACGAAGGGGGCGAGCGUUGUUCGGAAUUACUGGGCGUAAAGGGCGCGCAGGCGGCUCUGAAAGUCAGAUGUGAAAGCCCCGGGCUUAACCUGGGAAUUGCAUUUGAUACUCUGGAGCUUGAGUACGGGAGAGGAGAGUGGAAUUCCCAGUGUAGAGGUGAAAUUCGUAGAGUAUUGGGAAGAACACCGGUGGCGAAGGCGGCUCUCUGGACCGUAACUGACGCUGAGGCGCGAAAGCGUGGGAGCAA